rnacentral:lncRNA from 1 species
AGGUAAAUUGGGAAAGGAGAAGAAGGUGAUUGAUAUGGGGAAGAUAUAUAGGAUGAAGCAAGAGAAGGUUUCGGCUUGGACGAUGAAGAUGUUGAUUGACGCAGUGACAAAUUCGGGGCUAUCGACCUUAUCGAAUACAUUGGAUCAAAGUGUUGAUGAUGGAGGAGUUGAGCAAGCGGAUAAGGAGAUAACGAAUGAGAUGGAAGCGAUGGCUGCUGCGUAUCACAUUUUCAGGAACGUCGCUCCGCCAAGUUGCAAGUGAGAAACGAAAGAGUUAAGCCGAUUAACAGAUUGUUUGGUUUGUUUGGUCUUUUGGUAACCAUGUUGUAUUUUCUGCAGGUACUUUGAAGAAGAAGAUCUUGGGAGGUUCAUGAUCAAGGAAGAGGUGGAUCUUAUCUUCCCAUUGCUUGAAGGAGCAGAAACUGGAAAAAUUGACAUAAAAUCUUUGUCAGACUGGGUGGUCAGUGUAUUAAUGUUUAAUUCAUUAUAAUUUUUGUCUGUUGCCCUUUUUCAUGUAAAGAGCAGUUAACAUGCAUCGUCGCUCCGCACUGUCUUCAUUCCAGUGACCUGUAUUUUAAUGUGAAGGGAGUCUUUAACGUGAGAUACAAUUUUUUUACAGGUGAAGGUUUAUCAAGGCCGCAAAGCACUGGUACAUGCUUUGACGGAUACAAAAACAGCAGUAAAGCAAUUGAACAAGCUCAUGACAGGAAUAUUGAUCGUCAUUACCAUCAUCAUAUGGCUUCUUUUGAUGGAAAUUGCUACGACCAAAGUACUAGUCCUGCUUUCAUCACAGCUUGUCAUGGCAGCUUUCAUUUUCGGCAACACUUGCAAGACAAUAUUUGAGGCUAUCAUCUUUGUGUUUGUUAUGCAUCCAUUUGAUGUUGGCGAUCGUUGUGUUAUUGAUGGAGUUCAGGUAACUCUAAAGAGAAACGCUUCCACAACACUUCCACUUUUCUGUUGAGAUGAGUCUGACUAAUAGCAAUUCCUAUUUCUCAUGGCAGUUGUUGGUGGAGGAGAUGAAUAUCUUGAACACUGUCUUCUUGAAGCUUGAUAAUGAAAAAAUCUACUAUCCAAAUUCAGUUUUGUUUACGAAACCUAUAAGCAAUUACAACAGAAGCUCAGACAUGGGCGAUAAGGUGGAGUUCUCAAUUGAUAUUAUGACUCCAUUGGAAACAAUUGGAGCAAUGAAAGAGAAGAUAAAAAAGUAAGUUGAUGGAACUGCUACAGUUUCCUUCAUUUCUUAUUGCAAAUGUUGUGGCCCAUAUAGACUUGUUUGGUACAGGACCAUAUGAAAGAUUAUGGCAACUCUUUCUAAUGACUAGCCUUCUUGAUCAGGUACUUGGAGAAAAAUCAGCUACACUGGCGCCCGAACCACAACUUGCUUGUGAGUGAGAUCAACAACGUGAACAAGAUUAAGAUGGGGCUCUACGUCAAUCACACAAUGAACUUCCAAGAUUAUGCAGAGAAGGGCAGACGGAGGACUGAACUAGUCAUGGAGUUAAAAAAGAUUUUCGAUGACUUGAAGAUUAGAUAUAAUCUCUUUCCUCGAGAGGUCUGUCUUUGCCAGAUUGAGGAUGAGAAAUAGGCGUGAAGGGCAGGUGAUGACUGCAUUUGGCCGUCGAAUAAAUGCUCUGAAAAUAUGCUGAAGUCAGUGGUUUCGUCCGCUUGCUAAAUAAAGGAGGUGACUAGGUCUUUUGAUAAAUUGGGCUACCUCACUCUUCUUUUCAUAUGGCGAUGGAGCAAGGCCUACAGAAGACAGUUGCAUCGCCUCGGGCAUGUCAAGACAAUCAAAAGGCCCAAUUACUGAUGCACGAUAAUUGUGUAUUGCAAAGCAUACCUUAAUCUUGUUCUGUCUUUUGGAUGUUACCUUUUUUAUAUUGUGGCUUGGCGACUCUGUCCCAGUUGUUAUUUGAAACAUGAGGCUAUGAAUGAUGUUUGUGAAUGUAAUCUACCUUACCUUGAGUAUGAGUUAUUUGCUCAGCCAAAUACGUGUGAUCAUACGUAUGUCUCCUGCACAUGAAUGUGUGCUCAAAUGUGCCUUUGUGCGUGCAUGUAUUGGUGAGGUUCCGGCCGAAGACCAGAGGUUUGUCCACGCGGUUGCAUUAGUGCAGGUGCAUGAGUAUGAUAAAAAUCGGUGGUUAUGAUGUUAGGCUGCAUUGUCAAAUGAUCAUAGGAAUUGUGCCGAUCUAUUAGUUUGACUGCAGUGUGGGCAGUGCGUGAUGACUCUUUAAAUCUUUGAAUUUCCAAGCUCUCAUCUGUGCAGAAUCCAAUCAAUCUCAUUUAUGCAAUAUCAAUCGGGAUAAGCUCGUUUCAAACAGGCAGGGGAAGAGGAUGGAGAGAACCCAGGAUUACCUCUGAUACUGCCUCCAGAUAGCCAACGACAACGGCUUUCCCCAGCUAUAAUUGUCUACCACAAGCACGAUUAUGACGAACACGGCAACAAUGACAACAACAGUAAUGCUAGUAAUAACAAUAACAUUAGUAGGCAGAAGUACACCACAAGUGCCAUAACUUGGCACGCCGGGACACUUAAGUGCCAUAACUUCAAAACGGUACACUUAAGUGCCACUUUUUUUUUGGAGUGGGACACUUAAGUGCCACUUCCGGCGACCCUUGCCGGAAAUCCUACGUGGCAAUAUUUUAUUAUUAUUUUUUGCCUACGUGGCUCGCCGGAGCUCCAAAUCAGCAUAAAAAUUAAAAAAAAAUUAAAAAAAAUUAAAAGUUUUAAUUUUAAAAAAUUUUAAAACUUUUUUUAAAAAAAGAAAAUUUUAAAAAUGUUAAUUUUAAAAAAUUAAACAAAUUAAAAAAAAGAAAAUUUUAAAAAUUUUAAUUUUAAAAAUUUUAAAAAUUUAAAAAAAAUUUUAAAAUUUUUUUUUAAAAAAUUAAAAAAAUUAAAAAAAUUUAAGAAAAUAAUAAAAUUUAAAAAAUUUAAAAAAUAAUAAUAAGAAAAUUUAAAAAAAUUAAAAAAUUAAAAAAAGGGGGGGGGGGGGGGGGAGGCGGCGGCGGCGGAGGUGGCGGCGGUGAGGGAGCCGGCGGUGGCGGCAAGGGAGCCGCCCCGUUCGGCCUCCCACUCCCCACUUUUUUAUAAUUUUUUUUAAUUUUAAUUUUUUUAAAAAAUUUUCUUAAUUUUUAAAAAAUUUUAAAAUUUUCUUAAAUUAAAAAAAAAUUAAAAUUUUCUUAAUUUAAAAAAAAUUAAAUUUUCUUAAUUUUUUUAAAUUUUUUUAAAAUUUUCUUAAUUUUUUAAAAAUUUUAAAUUUUUUAAAAUUUUUAAAAUUUUCUUAAUUUUUUUAAUUUUUUUAAUUUUUCUUAUUUUUUAAAAUUUUAAAAAUUUUAACAUUUUUAAAAUUUUUCUUAAUUUUUUUAAUUUUUUAAAUUUUCUUAAUUUUUAAAUUUUUUCUUAAUUUUUAAAAUUUUUCUUAAUUUUUAAAAUUUUUCUUAAUUUUUAAAAUUUUUUUAAAUUUUUCUUAUUUUUUUAAAAUUUUUUGAAUAUUUUAAAUCUAAUUUAAUUAAUUUAUAUACUAUUAUUUACACGUAGACGCGAAACGGCGUCGUUUUUGCAUUUUCUCCGCCACGUCAGCGUGCAAAACGACGCCGUUUGGGACCGAGCUCGCCGGAAAGUCGCCACGUCAGCCAUUUGGCCGGAUUUUCGCCGGAGUGGCACUUAAGUGUCCCAUUUUACUCCGAUGAUGGCACUUAAGUGUACCAUUUUAAAGUUAUGGCACUUAAGUGUCCCGGCGUGCCAAGUUAUGGCACUUCAGGUGUCCCGCACUCAACAUUAGUAAUAAUAAUAAAAACCAACGAGAAGAGGUCCUUCCCUCUUCUCAACUCUACGAUGACAAUGUCAGUCCUGCGUUCCGCUGGAACAUUGGUGCAAUCUUACUCUGAUAUUUCAAUCGUGGUUGAUCAAGCCAAGAUCAAUGGUUGGUACAGCAAGCCACAUGAGGUGAGCUCUCUCAUUGAAUUAGGGUCAAUCGCAAGUUUAGUGAACAUUGCUUUGGUCACAAGCAUACGGGGCAGACAAAAUAGUGAAUUUGCUGAUCGAUUUGAAUCAACUCGUUUGGUGUGUAUUCGCGGUGAGAAAGAUCCCUAAUCAUGUAGCUGAAUUCGGAUGUUAUAUUGAACUGUCGUUAUAACCUCCGCCGCAGGUCGAGCUACGAGAGAAAAUAGCCCGAGGGACCACCGUGGAGAUAUACAGGGCCUUGUGGCGGGGCCUCGACAUGACUGUCAAGGGCAUCUUCCCAAAAUUCUUCCACACGAACCAGAGCGGCACCACGUUCUUCACGCAGGAGCUCGAGGCCCUGCCGCAGCCGCGGCACCGUUUCGUGCUGCAGCUGAUGGGCGCAUGCAUCGACCCGCCCGAGUGCACGUGGAUAGUGACCCGAGUUCCUGGGCUCAACGCUGAAGGAAUGGCUCCACGGGCCUGGGAACCACAAGAUGGGUGAGAGGGCGAAGCCGAUGCCUCCGUUCGGGAAGCGGUUGAGCCUGACGUUGGAGAUAGCCCACGAGCAGAAGCCCAGGGUGAUCCACAUAGAGUUGAUGCCGAGCAACACCUUCUUGGAUGAUGCGAUGAAUGUUGGGACGAUUAUUACACUAUCCUUUUCCUCAAUUACUCACAAUUUGAGAGUAAUUGAGCUGACGCUUACAGAAAAUGUUUAGAUUUUAGAGAGGGAUCAAUGCAAAUUGCAGUUCUCCGAGCGUGGUAGUCAUAUGAAAAAUUGCGUAGUGGAACGUUUUUGAGUUAUGUGCAAGAUGGAUGGAUAGUUUGUUACUUUACGUACUUCCUAGCUUUGUUAACAUUACAAUUUAGACAUCAUUAGUAUGCUUAGCAAAGAAAAGAGGAGGUGAUUUUGAGUAGACACGAGUUUCUUUUAAAGAAAUUAAUUAUUCCGAUUUUGAGCAUUCACGCCUGUUGAAAAUUAUCAAUGAUGUGCUAGUGUUAGGGAUGUCAACAACCGAACUGAAAAUGUUUGGUCUUUUCAGUUCCAUUCUUGUUCAGUUUUUAAGUAAUAGGUAAAGGACCUUGGGUAGUUUGCCGGUUCAAUUCCGUUCGAUUUGGGUUUCAUUUUUCGUAUUUCUUUCAAAGCUGAAGAUCAAAACAUGGAGGGAUUUGUGUCUCAACCAUCAAAUAUAUUCUGAAUUCAAGUCGUUCCAUUCAUGAAAAUUCAGUACGCUCGAUUGGAAAAGAGCUGAUCGAAGCUCAUGGUCACGGGCUUUAUGCUGUGCUCUGUAAUUUAACCGUAUUCCUAUCUUUAACUCUACUCCUAUCUGACAAAAUUGCUGAUACGUACGUUCUGUUUUCAUUUUGGAUAUGAAAGGCUCAAUGAAAAAACCUUAUGUUCAUUCACAAGAUAUUCACGUGAUAUGUUUCAAUCUUUAGUUCAUAAUUUGUUUUACCGAUAGUUCCAAAAAACCAAAAACAAAAAAAAACAAAAACAAAAACAAAAGAAAGGGUUUGCAUCAAACCAGCGAUUUCAUCUUUUUGGCAGGAUUUUGGGCAUGUCUAGUCGAGUGGAAAAAUAUUGUUAAUGAGACAAUUACCUUUAUAAUAUAUGAUAGCAGGCCACAGAAAUGAUGAACUCACGAUUGCUUUACUAAACUUUACCUUGCGAGAAGGGCAAAAGGGAGAAGAAGAGGAAAAUCGAAAAUCUGAACCUAAUUGGGUCAUAUUUGGUUCGGUUCAAUUUUUUAGGAAACUUGAACCGCACCAUUGACAUUCAUAACAAGUUUGUACAAUCAAUUAUAGGAAAAUCGCCAUAAGUCUUAUUGAAGAAAUUUAAUAUGGCACAAAAAUCUUUCAGUCUUUGUAAUUAAGACCUUAAAGUCUAUGAAACAAGCGCAAUCAAGGUCUUCCUUACAAAAGUUUCCUGAUUUUUCCUAGGGCAUCUUAUUUGGGUGCCAUUUGAACUAUUUUCCAACGUGGUGCUAGUAUUCGCCAUAAGGACUUAAUUGACUUCUUUUUCGAAAGGUUGAAGAAUUAAUCUUAACCAUUUAAAAGGCUUAAAUAGCACUAGGAAAGCAAACAUACUACUACAUUCGAUGCACUUUUUCUGUCGAUUAUCUGUCCUCCAAUUCCUUUUUCUCACUGAUGAAGAGAUUUGGCUACCUAAAGAUCCACAGAAUAAGCUACAAGUCAUGGACCGGUAAGCAGUAAUGUUCAGAUCUUUGAACUGUGCAAGAGGAGUUUGCAUGUAAUUGGUGGAAAAUCAAGCAGAUUGCAUCCAUUUUUCUGAUUUUUUUUUUUUGAAAUUAACGUUCUAUAUAACUACGCCAACCAUGAAGAUUCAUACUUUCGUGAGAAAAUGAUAUGCUCAUGUAGAAGUAUUAUGCUAUUCAUUAUUAAUUUUUCCUUAAAAUUGCUUUCGUUUUUUCACUCUUAGCAAUAUGUUUUUUAAUUUGGUUGGAUACUCUUAGCAAUAUUGAAGAUAAGCGAAGUGUCAAUACCAAAUAGAGGAAGGCAUGAUAUCGAGAAGGCUCUACUCAAAUAAAGUGAAGUCAUACUCACCAUGCAAACUAAAGAUCAUGUCAGGCUGCAUUAUCAAAUGAUCAUAGGCAUUGUGCCGAUCCAGUAGUUUGGUUGCAGUGUGCGCAAGGCACGAUGACUCUUUGUAAAUUUGUGAAGGUCCAAGCUCUCAUCUAUGUAAAAUAUUCAGCCAAUCGGGAUAAGCUCGUUUCAAAUACGUUGAGUAUCCCGCCCAAGCUCGAUAAGGGGAAAGAAAAACAUUGAAUAUGCCAAGGAAGAUCCCCAAAAUCCAGAAAGGUACUAACCUCAAUAGUAAUGACAACAAGGCUUCGUAUGACGGGUAUGCAAAUAAAAGAAUCGUGUUUCUUUUUCUCGGUGUAAUUUAGAAGUUCGAAGGUUUCGAACAAUCUUCUUCUCCUUUUAAAAUCCAAGUUUGCUAGCGCAAGCCUCGACAGUGGAUCGCAUAAUCCUUUUGCUCAAUAUGUAAGCGAACUAUCAUUUUGAAAUUGUGACACCAGCAAGGACAAAUGCUACUUUCGGGAGGACUCUUCAUUAUUUUAGAGAACUGAAACAUCUUCCUCCCAUAUGAUGUAAAGUAAUAAUCUCCACCAAAAUUUGAUAUAUUUAUAAUGAGGAUGACAUUACCCUAUUUAUAGGCUUUAGGAGAUGACUAUUGAAGGUGCAUAUCGAUCAAGGAUGUGCAUUAUCAAAUGAGAUAUAUGAGAGAUGUUCAUAAUCAAGUAUAUCUCCUUAUAUCGCUAACAGAAAUGUUGCCCGCCAUUUGGCCAAGUGAAAAAUUGUUCAAAAAAGUGUUAAACCUAUUGUACAAUAGCAACUUUGGUUUUGAACUUUCUAAUUAUGCUAAUUUAAUCCUAAACUCUUUGACGAUUUGUCAAUACCAGUAUUCCAAUCAAUUUUGGCUAGAGAUUGAUGACGUAGACAUCGGGCAUUUUGAGUGCAUUUAGUUCAGCAUUCCAAGGGACUUUUGGCCUCCGAAGUCCCUUGAGAAAAUGUUGGAUCUUUUGGCAAUUAUUUUGAAUUUUUUUUAAGUGAAAGCAAGCAUUAAGAAGGUUGGAAGCCCAAAAUUAGUAGGGAUUAGUAUUGAGUCUUCAACAUUUGGCCAAAUGCAAAAACUUAUUUUUCUCUUCCAAAACUAUCCUCACCAAUUUUUCAAAUUUCCGAAUUUAUCCCUCAUUGUUUUUUAUUUUUUUUAAUUAUUAUUAAAGAAAGACCAAGUCCUUUGUUGAUUCGAGGAAGGGCUUUGAUUGUUGACGAGCCAAAGCCGAGGCCAUCAAAGGUCACACAACCUCAGGCGUGGUGCAUGACCCAAGCGACUGCCGCCUAGGUCUUGCAGCCUCAGGUGCCCCUCCUUGGGUCUUGUGAGGGUGGCAUGUCGCUUGUGUUGUGCAACCCUCGUCAAGGGUUGUUAAAGAUCGGGUGACCUCCGGCGGCCUUCGCUAGGGUUGCACAACCCAUGCUGGAGGUCGCCCGAUGACUAAUGGGCACCAGUGCCAGAUCAGGCUCGCCGGCAGUCGUAGCCAUUUGCCUAAUUGAUAAAGGGUUUGGUCUUUUUUUUUUUAAUAAAUAUAUAUUUUAUUUUAUUUUUCAAUUUUAAACAAAUAAAAAUUUUAAAAAAUAAUGUUAAUCAACUAAAAAAAGUUCAAAUGUAUUUUCUACCAAACUACAUUUUUCUCAAAAUUGCUUAUCAAAGCAUAAUUUAUCAAGUAGUCUUUGCAUUUGCUCAAAGCCAUUUAGGUUAAACUACUUUGCAUUUUUUUAAUGGGCUUUUAAAAUACUUAACCAAAUGUAUUAUUUACAUGGCAUGACCGAUGCUGAUGCAAACAAAUUUUGCAAUAUUUUGAAUUUAUUUACUGGCCCUUAAUAGUUAAAAAAAGAAGAAGAGAAAAUAAAGAAAGUAAAUAAAUAAAUGAUUUAGAAAAUUCUAAAAAAUUGUCAUGUCAAAGCUGACUUUGCUACAUAAGACCGAUGAUAUCCACGUUACUACUCCUAGUCAAAUUAGCCAAAAUAAUUAAAUUGAUAAAUUAAAAUAUUUAAGACUAAAUUGACCGUUGCAUAAUAGGUUAAGAAUUUUUUGGCUAAUUUUCCCUUGGCUGUGGCCGACCACUUAACUUUUGUGCCCAUCUUGAUAGAGAAAAUUCAAAUGGGUAAUUCAAUGGGUCCCCAUCACAAUCACACUUUACACAUAUCUCACUGCAAGUUCAUUCUGAAACAUCCUUCCGAAAGAAUUCAUCGAAAAUGUUAUGUGGAAUAGUAGUUCGUGACGUUACCGUUCAAUCAUUUCAUUGAUGACGUGUCCUCAAGGGUCCCACCAUGGGCAUCUACUAAUUAGGAUGAUACGGUAUGUGAUGCCUUUACCCUGUCGAGGACGAUUAAAUAGAUAAUCUUAUAAAGGAUCUUGUUCUUUUUCUUGUUGGUCUCACCAAUAAUCGCAUGCUCCUUCAUUAGACGGGGACACGACUCAUUGAAAGUUCAUCUGAUUGUGACCCGACAUAAUUUGCCGAGAAGAAAGACCUUUGACUAAACAACCAAAAAAAAAGAAAAGGAAAAAAACGUUUUGGAUUGGCAUUAGAUCGGACGACAACAGCGUCGAUGGCAUAAUUUACUCGAAUUCUAAAAAUCAAGAUGGAAUAAGCAUCUUGAUUAAUCAGAUGUUUUAUUCACGAGUUAAAUACAAGCAAUGCACCAAAUACGAGUAAUUGGGUAUCUUUUUCUUGCGAGCUAUCAUUCGAUUUCAAGUUUGUUAUUGUAGUAGAACUAAGCAUGAUCUAAGAACUUUCAAAUAAAGAUCAAAUUACUCAAUUUUGUUUGUCUUGCAAUAAUUUUUUUUUUGCCGACCCUUAAUAGUCAAAAGAGAGAGAGAAAUGGAAAAGAAAAUAAAAAUAAAGAAAAAGAAAUAACUAAAUUUUAAAAAAAAAAAAUUGGCAUGUCACCGUUAGUUGUGUCAUAUUGGAUAAUUGGUUCUCAUGUUAGCAAUUUCUAGACAAAUUUCCCAAAAGGUUUAUAUUGACAAAUCAUUAAAAAAAAAUUAGGAUUAAAUGGGUGUAGUUAAGAGGUUGAAAAUUGAAUUUGUUAAAAAAAUUUGGAGAAUUUUCCCUUUGGUCAAUCACAUAACUUUUGUGCCCAUCUCAAUAGAGUAAAUUCGUAUGGGUAAUUCAAAGGCACGCUUUGCACAUAUCUCAUUGCACGUUCAUUAUGAAACAUCCUCUUGAAAGAAUUCAUUGAGAAUGCUAUGUGAGACAUUUGUUCAUGAUGUUACGGUUCAAUCAUUUCUAUAGAUUUAUGUGUCCACACGGGUCCCACCAUAUGCAACUAUUAAUUAGGAUGACACAAUCGGUGAUGUCCUUACCUGAUAUGUACUCAUAUGAUACUAUGCCCUAUCAAGGACGAUCAAUGUAUCGCAAAAAGACAAGCUUAUAGAAAAAAGAUCUUUUUUUUUUUUUUCCUUUUUCAUGUUGGACUCUCUAACAAUCACAUGCCCCUUUUUAAGAUAGGGAUAUCACUAGUUGAAUGUUCAUUUGAUUGCAACCCAACAUAAUUUGUUGAGAAGAAAGACAUUUGACUAAAUCCCAACUAUGAACAAAUUGCAUUGGCACUAGACUAGAUGAUAAUGGUGGUUGAUGAUAUAAUUUGAUUGAACUCCAAAAAUCGAGAUCGAAUAAUCAUCCCAAUUAAUCAGACAGUCCAUUAAUGAGUUAAAUAUCGACAAUGUGCCAGCGACACAUAAUCAAAUAUAUUUUUCUUGCGAGCCGUCGUGCUUUCAAGUUUGUUAUCAUAGUAAGAGUGGGCAUGAUUGAUAACUUUCAAAUAACAAUCAAUCUAUUCAACUUGCUUCGUACUUUCCGAAUAUCCGACAAUUUUCUUGGCGAUGGCAUGGCAAAGACGACAUGGAAGGUUUCAGGUUGCAGACAUACCGAACGACCAUAAACAUUAAACCAUCUUUGUACGGACAUGCGGGUCAGAUUGAGAAAGAUGCUGUCAUCGAUCGAAGAACGAAGGACGGACGGAAGGAAAGGAAAGAUGGACAAGAACUCUCACUGCGUGCAUCACGUUCAUGGGCACCUAUAAUGUAAAGAAAGGUGGUUUCUUAUAUUUUAUUUUUCUUUUGUUUGCUUUUUGUAUACUUUUUUAAAUAGACCAUGCUAAUGAAAGUCCCCUAAAUAUUUGAUAAUGAAUGAAUUAAAAUAUUUCCAUACAUUUCGUUUCAUUAAUUGUCGUCGUUUCAUAUAGAAUCAAUAUCUUGGAAAUUUAAUUAUCUAGAAAUAGCACACCGAUCAAGUCUAAAAUAUUUAUAUAUAUUUCUAUUGAUUGAUUAUCAUUGUUUCGCAUAGAAUCAAUAUCUUGAAAAUUCAAUUAUCUAAACAUAGCACAUUGCUCAAGACUCUUUCGAUAUAUAUAUAUAUAUAUUAUAUCCCAAUGGGAAAAACUCAUGUUUGAAAUCUCGAGGAGAACGAUAGGGAAAAGAAAAAUCAGCAAGUUCCAACAAACUUGGCUUCGUUGGGUCUUUGUGCUUACAUUUCGUCUCUAAUUUUAGUUUGUAGGAAUUAUUGAGUUUUGAUAGAUGGAAAAUAUGAUAAAUGUGCUUAUCAUCAAUUGAAACUGCUACGGCGAACUGAGCAAGUCAUGGAUAACCCCUAAAUUAAUUUAAUGAAUUUGGGCUCUGUUCGUUUAACGGAAAAUGACUUCUAGGAAAAUAUUUUUCCGGAUUUUCCAAUGUUCAUUUCACAGAAAAUAAACUAAUAAAGGAAAAUGUUUUCCAUCAUUGGAAAAAAUAACAUUUAAAAAUGAGGAAAAUGUCUUCUACUUUUCAAAAGUGGAAAACAUUUUCCAUAACUUCUUCCACAUUGUUUCUUUUCACUAACACAUUUUCAUUUUAUUUUUAUGCUUUCUUUUUCUUUCUUUUUUCUUUUUUAAAUCGAGUUUUCAAUUUUUUUCCUUUUCUUUUUUUCAUUCUUUCUUUCCAUUUCAUCUUCUUCCUUAGCCUUAGCUUGUUGUUAGCCACGGUGGCGACUGGCGACCAGCCGCGAGCCAGCUAGGGCCUCCCCCUAGGCCGAUGAGGCUCCGCCUAGCUCGAUUUGGCAAAGCCAAGCUCACCCGAGCCUAGUGAGCUUGGGCCUCGCCAGAUCCGGCAAGCGAGCACACUUCAUAUAUCUCUUACCGCAAGUUCACAGUAAAACAUCCUCCCAAAAGAAGUCAUCAAGAAUUUUAUGUGGAUAGUCGCUCAUGGCGUCAACAAUUGAUCAUUUCAUUGAUUAUGAAUCCUCAUGAGUCUCGCCACAUGCGCCUAUUUAUCAUAUUAACAAGGUCUGUGAUCGUCUUGUCAGAAUUGAUGAGACAACUACUAAUUGUUCUUAAAGUUUAACCUAUUAUAUUAAUGUGUGGUUAAUAUUUAAUUAUUUUAUCAACCACCAUGCUUAGUUCGAUCUUUUUGCCCAGCAUUAAGCAUUGUGAGAUUUUGUGAGAUUAUUAUUAAUUAUUUUAAAAAGUUAAGUUAUUAGAUAAAUGUGUGAUUUUAUAUUUAAUUAUUGUAUCACCUCUUACUUUAGUCGUAUGGUGCUACGUACUGUCCAGGAGUAUCAUCGUACUGCAAAAAGACAAGCUUAUAAAAGAUCCUUUUUCCUUGGUCGGAUUCUCUAAUGACCACAUGCUCCUCUAUAAGAUGUGGAUAGGGCUAGUCGAAAGAAGUCCAUGUGAUUGUGACCCCACAAAAUUUGUCGAGAGACAAGACACUAGACUAUGGGGGUGCUGAGUUGACGAUACAAUUUGCUUAAUUUCCAAAUUGAGAUUGAAUAACCGUUCUGAUUAAUCAAACAGCCGUUUACUAAAUAAAGGAAAUAUAAGAAAUGUGAGUAAUCAAGUAUAUUUAUCUUGUAAGUCGUUGAUCAAUUUCAAGCCCGUUCCAAUGGAACUAAGCAUGAACUUUGAACUUACAAAUGACAAUCAAAUCGCUCAUCUUAGUUUAUCCUUUUCGAAUAUCCAACAAUUUCAAGGUUAGACUUAGAAAGAUGUUCUCGUCAGUCAAAGAAGGAGCAAAAGGAAAGAUGAACAAGAACUCUCUCACAGCAUGCAUCACGUUUGUGGGCACCUUUAGGUUCAGCAUGAUUUUAGGGUGGAAUCUAGAACUAGAUCAAUGAAAUCCUGUCCGGUUCUAGGUUUCAAGGUAUGUAUGUUAAGUUUUAGGUUCAAAAAAUUGGAUAAUAUAUUUCAACUUCUAGAUUCCAGGUUCUAGAUAGGUGGAAUUUGGAACUUGAAAUAAGUUUUUUUUUUUCUUCUUGAUCUAUGACUUUGUGAUCCUAUAGUAUUCCAUAUCGUUCGAUGAUGAGUGCAUAAUUUGGAAUCACUAGUCCAAACUUCCAUCUUAUGACUAAACCUUUUACUUGGUUAAUUUUUUCUUUUUCUUCAUGUCUAAAUAUAGGUUGUGGUCAAUUGAUUCUAAUAGCAAGUUGUGAUAAUUAAAGGUAAUGAUUUAUUACAAUCAUUCAAUUAAUAAUACAUAUGAAACUUGAGUAGAACCCCAAACUGACAUGCUCCAAGUUCUAGGAUAUGUAGGGUAGAUUCUAGAUUCCAAAUUCCAAAAAAUAAAAAACACAUUCUAAAGAAUAAGAAACAUAUUCCAACUAGUAGAUUCUAAGUUCCAAAUGAAACAUAUGUAGAACCUUGAACCACUUACCCUAAGCACUUUAUAUAAAGAAAUGUAGUUUCUUAGAUUUUCCUUUUUUUUUUCUUUUUUGUAUAUUGUUCUUUAAAUAGACCGUGUUAACACAAGUCAUAUGAAUGUUUGAUAAUGAAUUAAUUUUAAAAAAGUCAUAAAUUUUAAUACGUUGAUCGACAUCGUACCACACAGAAUCAAUGUAAAAGAAAUUCAAUUAUUCAAAUAUAGCAUGUUGACCGAAACUCUUUCGAUAUUUUUAUACCUUGAUGGAAACACCCAUGUUUGAAAAUCUCGAGAAGAAUGAUAAGGAAACGAAGAAUUAGCAAGUUAAGCUGCCCAUCUCACCGUCCGAGAUCCGACGAGACCUGGCCUUAUUGGGCCUUUUUGCUUAUGUUUUGUUUCUAAUUUCAGUUAUAGGAAUCAUUAAAAUUUAAUACACGAAAAAUAUGACAAAUGUGCUUCUUAGUCAAAACAGCUAAGCAAGUCGUGGGUACCUCUUAAUCAUUAAAAAUUAGAACAAAAUCUUAAUUAACAACGUAGUUACAUAGAGAAGGAAGAGCAUGAGAAUCGGCAUGCAUGGAUUAUCUUUGCUUUUCUUGUGACUGUCAACGAUGUUCUUAGAAAACCGUGCAUGGAUUAUCAUUUUAAAUACGCUCCACGAGUUCCAGCCUCCAGGCACCGCCUAAACAAAAUCUUGAUUAACAAAGUACGAGGAUUUUGUCUCCCUUGGAUUGGAUGGGCUUCUCGGCAUCCAUAAAUGCUCCUCAGAGUCUUUUUGGGUUUUAGCUUUCUUGCUUUGUUCUUGGGGAAGUGAGCUUAACGGCACACUGACAGACCCGCUCUAAUCUUAAUUAAGGUAGACGGCUUUCUUGAUCUCCUUUUCGCUUUUCGCUUUCAACUUUACCCCGUUGUGAGCAUACGGCCAGCCACUUGACCGUUUAGGGUGUGCAUAGCAAUGUUUUUAUUUUCUCAAAAAUAAUUUCUCUUUCUACAUUGGAAAAUAAUUUUUUAGUAAAAUAAGAUGUUUGGUAAUUAUACAAAAUUUAUAUUCUUGAAAUAGAAAAAAAAUAAAAAUACAUUUAAUACAAUUUAUAAAUUUUUAUAUUUAUUUAUUUUUUCUUCUUGCUUACAAAUAGCUGUCUUUCGCCACAUGAUCGCUAACUGUCACCACCGACCGCUGCUCAUAGCCCACCAGCCAUCGGAGGCGGAUGGGCGGCCGCAGGAGGGGGCAACGACGAGUGGGCUAUGGGCGGCGAUCUUACAGCAGUAGUUGGCAGUCCUACAACAGAAGGCAACGGUCAUGCGGCGGUGGGCGCCAAGCAACAAGAAAAUAACGUCAUCACAUUGAGAGAGAGGCAAACCCAUGUCGUUCAAAAGUAGGCACAAUAAGCCCUUGAGAACCGCACAAUGAACGAUCCAUGCGUAGAAUAACACCUGUCGGGAGACUAACAGAUGUGAAAGUAUAUGCAGAGAAUUGUUCACACCUACACAAAAAAGUUGCACACCGAUCUAUGCAUCUUUCUCCAAGUGAAAGAGUAAACUAUGAGGCAACGGUAAAUCUAAAUGAUUCCACAAGAUGGCUGAAGAAAAGAACCCUCUACUUUCAGCCAUUCAGAUUUGUCCCCUUCAGCCCUAGAGGGGCUAACUUAAUGAAGAAAAAGAUCAUAUGAAAGACUAAAGUUCUGGAAAAGACAAGAAGAUUGAAGCAGGAGCGACUAGGCUCGCAUAAAAUUACUGCAGGUGCAUACCUUAAAUCACACAAUAGUAGUUUCAUGCAAACCAUUUUGUAUUAACUAUGAUCAAAUAAGUAGUGAGACUAGCAUCCACGUGCUUUUCUCAUAAUUAACUUUGCAAGUGACAAAACUAAAAUUUUCACAAAAUAAAAGGGAAGCAAGGAUGCAUAAAGAGACUCUUUUGCUGCAGGACUGUUUGAAAGAUUUCCUAAAGCCAUUUCCUCUUAUUAUGCUUGUCAGGUACUUGGAAUUGAUUGUUAUUCAAAUGUUCUUAACCAUGCUUGGUUCUACAAUAACAAAUUCAAAAUUGAUCAACAACUUGCAAGAAAAAUAUAUACACGAUUACUCACAUUUCAUAAAUCGCUUAUAUCUAACAUUGUGAAUAACUAUUUGAUUAAUUGAAACAAAAGGUUGUUCGAUCUCAAUUUGUAAUUCGAACAAAUUAUAUCACCUGCUAUUGUCGUCCAAUCUAAUACGAAUACUUUGCUCCACGUAGGUGUUUAGUUGAAUGCCUUGCUUCUCAACAAAUUGUGUUGGGUCACAAUCAGAUGAACUUCUUUCCACUACUCCUAUCCUUAUCUCAUAAAGGAGCAUUAGAUCAUUGGAGAGUCCAAAAGGAAAAAGAAAAAAGAAAAUCCUUUAUGACCUUGUCUUUUUGCGAUACGUUUGAUCAUCCUUAACUGGGCAUAGUAUCAUACAAGUGAAUAUUAAGCAAGAGCAUUGUGGGUCAUAUCAUCCUAAUUAAUAGGCACCGUCUAAGAAUAGGAAAUCAAUGAAAUGAUCAAACAGUAACAUCAUGAAUGACUGGACUAUUUGAAUUCUUUUAGAAAGAUGUUGUGGAAUAAACUUGUGGUGAGAGAAGCAUAACACAUGACCAAGGUGGGGACCCCUUGGAUUACUCGAUUGAAUACACUCCAACGAGAUUGGCACAAAAGUUAUGUGAUUAGUUAUAAGAAAAUCAUCCAAAAAAUUCUAAACCUAUCAUAUGACAGUCAAUUUUAAUACAAAUUUUAUUUGAACUAAAUUAAAAGAAUAAGCUAUUUAAAAAGAAAAAAAAUGGGUUUCUAACCAACUCUCGUUACUGCACCACCAUCGCCGAGAAGGGGAUUGAUGGCCAGCGGUGGUCAUUGGGAAAUGCGUAAAUCAAAAAUAGAUCGUUCGACAAGCAAUAAUGGUCCGCUUUGAUGCAGAGCCGACAACUCUGCCGGUGAACAAAGGAAGGAGAUGGCGGUAGACGGAGGAGGAAGACUGGAGAAAAGGCAGAAGCCAGUUUUUACUUUUUUAUUUACUUGCCGUGACGUGAUACGUAAUUUUUAUUGGCUUUCAGAGCAGUCAGCCCCAUGACGUACGACGUGGUGAUAUAUAAUCACUUAAUAUUUUAUCGGUCGUAGACACAAACACUAUUGUACGGACCAUACUGCGAUCAGACUUCGAUAGGUGUUCUCGUCGAUCAAGGAAGGAAGAAAAGAAAAGAUGAAAAAGAACUCUCUCUCUCUCUCUCUCUCUCGCUGCGUGCGUCACAUUCAUAGGCACCUUUCACCUUUCAUAAAGGCGACCUCUUUUCCACAAAAAUUAUAUAUGAGUGACUGAAUAGGACGUCAAGCUUUGUCACCUUGCCGCCUGUCCCGUCACAGGAGAAAAUCAGACCAUUUCGGUAGUCCUUUGUUUUUCUUUUUAUCAUCAACGCAAUUCUUAGAAACCCGGGCAUGUACUAUCAUUUUAAAGACGCUUCCCGUGUUGGGGCACUGCCGGAACAAAAUCUUAAUGAACUGAGGACGAGGGUUUUGUCUCCCUUGGAUUGGAUCAGCUCUCAGCAGCCAUUCAUGCUCCUCAACAGUCUCUCUUGGAUUUAGCUUCCUUGCUCUGUUCUUGGGGAAGUGAGCUCAACGGAACAAUGACAAGCCCGUGCUGAUCUUUGUUAAAGCCUAAAGGUACGCGGUUUCCUUGAUCUCUUUUUCGAUUUUCAGUUUUAACUUUAUCCACAGUGACCAUCUCACCAGAUCACUAGACUGCUUCAUUUCUUGAUCGAGAAUCAUCUGCUGCAUCUUUACCUUUCCUUUAUUAUGUGUCCCGAGUUGGUGAUCAUUGACUAGAAGUUGAAUUUGUUGGAAAGGAAUAAACUCUCUCUCUCUGACUCGAGUGCUACAGUCGGUCCACGAGCUGAGUCUAUUAUGCAUGUUGUGUUGGCCUGUUGCUGUCUGUGUGUACGCAUUUCAGUGUAAGUAGAUCUGCGCUUGAAUUCUCUCUUUCGGUUUACUCUUGUGCUGUCCAGAGUUCGAUGUUGAACUGAAGCCUUAUGAGCGGUAUAGUUUUGGACUUUUAGAACGUAUCCCGAAUCAUGAAUGGAUUCUAAAGGAAAACGUCGAAAAGGCGGCGAAAUCACCAUGUCAGAGAAAAGGAAUGUCGAUGGAAAUGAAGUAAUUGUGAACAUCUCGACUGAAGGGGAUGCAAAAGCUGUGACUGAGGGCAGGGGUUCCAAGGAGUUGGAAACUGCGUCUCCGAAACAAACCCGGGUGGAUUCUCCCUGCCAGGCAUUCAGUGAAUUGAGCACUGCUGUCGCAAAAUCAGCGGGAAUGAGCUGCCCAUCUCCCGAAGUAGCCAGUCUCAGCCCUAAGGCUCCCUCUGCUAACGAAUCUUUCGUUAGGAAAAGGAGUCUCAACAGGUCGGUGUUCUCAAAACCGAAGUCGAGGUUUGGGGAGCAACUGUAUUCUUUUGAUGCCACUCCGAAGACACCGCUCAUGGCAUCUCGGGGACCAGCUGGAGGAGGAGGUGGAGAGGAGGAUGAUGAAGAGAUCUACAAACAAGUCACUCUUGAAUUGAGCAAAGCAAAGCAUAAGAGGAUAAAGACCAAGGCUUUGGUCGAAUGGACCGUGUUUUUUGUCAUUCUCGGGUGCCUGGUGGCUAGUUUAACGGUUGAUCAAUUGGAAGCAUCUAGGUUAUGGGGAUUAGAAAUGUGGAAGUGGUGUGUACUUGUGAUGGUGCUAUUCUCUGGCAUGUCGGUUACCCAUUGGGUGAUGCAUUUCAUAGUUUUCUUGAUUGAGAGGAAAUUUUUACUUCGGAAAAAGGUACUCUACUUCGUUCAUGGACUGAAGAAGAGUGUUCAAGUUUUCACUUGGUUGGCCUUUGUUCUUCUCACGUGGGUACUGUUAUUCAAUCAAGGCGUCAGGAGGUCGAAGAUCGCCAAUAAGGUUUUGGAUUGCAUAACCUGGACUCUAGUCUCUAUUCUCAUCGGUUCAUUCCUAUGGUUCUUAAAGACUUUACUGCUGAAGAUAUUAGCAUCGAGUUUCCACGUCACUACAUUCUUUGAUCGAAUUCAAGAAUCGAUCUUCCAUCACUACAUUUUGCAAACCUUAUCUGGGCGGCCUCUUAUCGAGGAGGCUGAGAGGAUGGGGAAAGAUCCUAGUGCCCGCGAGUUUAGUUUCAGAACUAUGAAGGAAGGUAAAAUGGGAAAGGAGAAGAAGGUGAUUGAUAUGGGGAAGAUAUAUAGGAUGAAGCAAGAAAAGGUUUCGGCUUGGACAAUGAAGAUGUUGAUUGACACAGUGACAAAUUCAGGGCUAUCGACCUUAUCAAAUACGUUGGAUGAAGAUGAAAGCAUCCAUGAUGGAGGAGCUGAGCAAGCGGAUAAGGAGAUAACGAGCGAGAUGGAAGCAAUGGUGGCUGCAUAUCACAUUUUCAAUAACGUCGCUCAGGCUGGUUGCA